rnacentral:rRNA from 1 species
CCUACGGGAGGCAGCAGUGAGGAAUAUUGGUCAAUGGACGAGAGUCUGAACCAGCCAAGUAGCGUGAAGGAUGACUGCCCUAUGGGUUGUAAACUUCUUUUAUAUGGGAAUAAAAUGUUCCACGUGUGGGAUUUUGUAUGUACCAUAUGAAUAAGGAUCGGCUAACUCCGUGCCAGCAGCCGCGGUAAUACGGAGGAUCCGAGCGUUAUCCGGAUUUAUUGGGUUUAAAGGGAGCGUAGGUGGAUUGUUAAGUCAGUUGUGAAAGUGUGCCGCUCAACCGUAAAAUUGCAGUUGAAACUGGCAGUCUUGAGGACAGUAGAGGUGAGCGGAAUUCGUGGUGGAGCGGUGAAAUGCUUAGAUAUCACGAAGAACUCCGAUUGCGAAGGCAGUUCACUGGACUGCAACUGACACUGAGGCUCGAAAGUGUGGGUAUCAAACAGGAUUAGAUACCCUAGUAGUC